rnacentral:misc_RNA from 1 species
GAUGAAGAACGCAGCGAAAUGCGAUAAGUAAUGUGAAUUGCAGAAUUCAGUGAAUCAUCGAAUCUUUGAACGCACAUUGCGCCCAUUAGUAUUCUAGUGGGCAUGCCUGUUCGAGCGUCAUUUCAACCCUUAAGCCUAGCUUAGUAUUGGGAAUCGACUUUACUGUCGUUCCUCAAAUUCAACGGCGGAUUUAUAGCAAUCUCUGAACGUAGUAAUUUUUUUUCUCGUUUUUGAAAUACUAUAAACCUCAGCCGCUAAACCCCCAAUUUCUUAUGGUUGACCUCGGAUCAGGUAGGAAUACCCGCUGAACUUAAGCAUAUCAAUAAGCGGGAGGA